AAUCUCAGUUCAGACUGCAGGCUGCAACUCGCCUGCACGAAGUCGGAAUUGCUAGUAAUCGUAGGUCAGCAUACUACGGUGAAUACGUUCCCGGGCCUUGUACACACCGCCCGUCACACCAUGAGAGUCGGGAACACCCGAAGUCCGUAGCCUAACCGCGAAGGGGGGGCGCGGCCGAAGGUGGGUUCGAUAAUUGGGGUGAAGUCGUAACAAGGUACC
rnacentral:rRNA from 1 species